CUGGAACUUGUUUCUCUAUGAGUUCUGUUCUUGGCCAGAAGCUGGCCUUCUGUGCCCAGCCCCCUUUCCAUCCCCAAGCCUGUCCAGGCACCUGCUAUGGGUCCUGGCAUCCCGAGGCAGGGCCAGGGAAGGGCCAGGGUGAGGCCAAGAGGGCGGGUGAGGACAGCCCAGCCCAGCUCCUCACUGCUGGGGAGCCUGGUGUGGGGGCAGGACUGCUCUUGGCAGCUAUGUUCUCCCUGGAUGGAGAGAAGGCCUGUGUGUCUAUGGGGUGAGUAGAGGCAGAGGCAGCCAGACCCUCCUACCCCUUAGAAAGCAAGGUUCUAGCAGCAUCUCUGUAGGGGUUCAUGGUAGGGGCGAGGGCAAUGGCUCUGCCUGCCCAGUGCCUCAGCUCAGUGCCCAGAUCCCUGCCGCUUAUCCCUCCAGACCUCGUCUGGGCCCUGCCUUUGUUCUCAUGCAGCAACUGUCUCCAGGAGAUGGAGAUGACAUCAGAAUAGCCGGAGCAGGUGUGAUCCAAGGUUCUGCAAGGAAAAGGAAGGAUGGUGUGGAGUGUGUUGCUGCAGGGAAGGCUUCCCAGUGGAGGUGGCUCCUGAGCUCUAGGAAAAGGGAAGUGAGUGUCCUUCCAGGCAGAGGGAACAGCAGGUGCAAAGGCCUGGGGGCUCGUCUAUAAGCACCCCCACGGCCGCGGCCCAGAUCCUCCCCGCUUUGCCCACCGGCCUCCAUCUCUGUCCUCAGGCCCGCUGGAGUCACAAGCCCCAUCCCAGACUCUCCAACGCUGGACCUGCAGCGCCCAGCCCUGCCCUGGUGCUACCACCUGCCAGCUCUGUGCCUGCCCCUCCACUAGAUCAUGACUUCGGCUCCAGCUCCCUCACUCUCCAUGCCUCUCACUUGCGGGUUGUGCCCUGCUCAGCUGGCCAGACUUUGGCCCCCUCCCUACCUGGAUUUGUGAAGCCCCAAAUUUCAUCUCCCCCACCACACUUAUUCACAGCCUCCGCCUGCUGACAUACCCAGGCAAGACUCCCUUCCCCUCCAGGCAGCCAAACUUCAGUUCGAAUCUUCUGGCUCUUACCAGACCCCUGAUGAAUCCCAGGAUCUUCGCAGGUGGUCCCAGGGCCUCUUUGAACCACAGUUUUACUUAUCUGAAAAAUAAAAAGGC
rnacentral:lncRNA from 10 species